GUCGACGAUUCCUGACGCAGCGACGCCGCGUGGGGGACGAAGGCCUUCGGGUUGUAAACCCCUGUCAGGCGGAACGAAUCCCCCGAGGACGAAUACUCCUCGGGGUUGACGGUACCGCCAGAGGAAGCCCCGGCUAACUACGUGCCAGCAGCCGCGGUAAUACGUAGGGGGCUAGCGUUGCUCGGAUUUACCGGGCGUAAAGAGCGCGUAGGCGGCCAGGUAAGUCUGAUGUGAAAGCCCUCGGCUCAACCGAGGAUCCGCAUUGGAAACUACCUGGCUUGAGGCCAGGAGGGGAGGGUGGAAUUCCCGGUGUAGCGGUGAAAUGCGUAGAGAUCGGGAGGAACACCUGUGGCGAAGGCGGCCCUCUGGAAUGGUACUGACGCUGAGGCGCGAAAGCUGGGGGAGCGAACGGGAUUAGAUACCCCGGUAGUCCCAGCUGUAAACGAUGGGCGCUAGGUGUGGGAGGUAUUGACCCCCUCCGUGCCGCAGCUAACGCAUUAAGCGCCCCGCCUGGGGAGUACGGCCGCAAGGUUGAAACUCAAAGGAAUUGACGGGGAAUCUCUAGAGGAUCCCCGGGUACCGAGCUCGAAUUCGUAAUCAUGGUCAUAGCUGGUUUCUGUGUGNAAAUUGUUAUCCGCUCACAAUUUCNCACAACAUACGAGCCGGAAGCAUUAAAUGUNAAANCUGGGGGUGGCUUAAUGAGUGGAGCUUAACUCNCANUUAAUU
rnacentral:rRNA from 1 species